CAGUAGCCACGGUAAUACAGAGGGUGCGAGCGUUAAUCGGAUUUACUGGGCGUAAAGCGUGCGUAGGCGGCUUCUUAAGUCGGAUGUGAAAUCCCUGAGCUUAACUUAGGAAUUCAUUCGAUACUGGGAAGCUAGAGUAUGGGAGAGGAUGGUAGAAUUCCAGGUGUAGCGGUGAAAUGCGUAGAGAUCUGGAGGAAUACCGAUGGCGAAGGCAGCCAUCUGGCCUAAUACUGACGCUGAGGUACGAAAGCAUGGGGAGCAAACAGGAUUAGAUACCCCCGUAGUCCCUGUCUCUUAUACC
rnacentral:rRNA from 1 species